AGCAGCCGCGGUAAUUCCAGCUCCAAUAGCGUAUAUUAAAGUUGUUGCAGUUAAAAAGCUCGUAGUUGAAUUUCGGGAUCAAUUUGCUGGUCGUGCCUCUGGUACGUACUGGUAUUAUUGGUUUCUCCCUUCUGACGAACCAUGAUGUCAUUAAUUUGAUGUCGUGGAGAAUCAGGACUGUUACUUUGAAAAAUUAGAGUGUUUAAAGCAGGCAUUAGCUUGAAUACAUUAGCAUGGAAUAAUGAAAUAGGACGUUUGAUCCUAUUUUGUUGGUUUCUAGGAUUGACGUAAUGAUUAAUAGGGAUAGUUGGGGGCAUUAGUAUUCAAUUGUCAGAGGUGAAAUUCUUGGAUUUAUUGAAGACUAACUACUGCGAAAGCAUUUGCCAAGGAUGUUUUCAUUAAUCAAGAACGAAAGUUAGGGGAUCGAAGACGAUCAGAUACCGUCGUAGUCUUAACCAUA
rnacentral:rRNA from 1 species